GAUCUAAAACGAUGACAUUUUUUGAUUUUUUUUGUUUCUGUCUCUGAAUCCUCUCUCCGCCGUCACGAGUCACGGGACUCACGGCGACUCAAUUGUUUGCACGUUGAUCCCGGCGAAUCCUCUCCACCGGCGAGAUCAGAAGAAGAGAGUCGAGUCUUUCUCUAAUCCCACUUUCAGAGGUCUCUCUCCCUAAUCCCUCAAUUCAAUUUGAGAAUGGUUAAGGAACCCUUGAGAGGAAUCCUCUUUGAUUUUCUCGAGAAAACUAAAGUAAAGUGCCUGAGAAAAUCUUGAUUUUUCCCGAGAAAAUCAAAGAGGAUUCACGCUAUGCCACGUCGCGAGAGCCGUCGUGGUUCGGGAGGAGGUUUCUCGACUCCACCACCGUCACGGAACACGGCGAGAAGAGUUUACGUUGCGAUGCCAAUGUCAGAGAGAAAAAGAACGUCUUCGAUCAAGAAUCAAGAAUCGUUCCACAAGGUUCCUUCUGGUGAUUCUCCUUACGUGAGAGCCAAACAUGCUCAGACCUGAAUCGAGCAAUCUCGUUGUAUUGGGCUGGGAUUAAUGCUGGAGAUCGAGUUGAUAGUGCAUUGAAGGACAUGGCUCUAGUUAUGAACCAGUUGGAUCGAACCAAUGAAGGAAUCGAAGCUGUCAAGUCUUAUCGAUAUCUCUGCCCUUUUGAAUCCCAAGAUUCCAUUGAUAACUUGUUACUUGAUCUCUACAAGAAGUCAGGGAGGAUUCAAGAGGAAGCUGAGUUGCUUGAACGCAAACUGAAAACACUUGAGCACUAUGGUGGUAGGAUCAUAGCUGCGAAAAGAAACUACAGGAAGCAGAACAACAAGACUAUCGAGCAAGAGAAAGCGCGGUAAGAACUGAAGUGUUUAAUCAAAGCAAGAGACAAGCAAAGCAAGGAAGUUGUGUGCAGAUUUAAUCAAAGAAAGGGAAGAUAACGAAAAAGCAUGUCAGAGAACUGCUUCAGAAUCUUCUCCAUUAGGUCAACGAAGUGUUUAUAAGCUUGACAAUUACUACACUAAAUGAUGUAUAGCUUGAACAACUGAAGAAAUGAUUUUUUUUUUAUCACUAUUACCGAGUUACUUUGAAACUGGAGUGUAUGUUUCGAGUAGGGAAAUGAAAGCUCUGAGGCCUGAGCAAAAUGCGACACAAACUUGAAAGAACAAAAGCAAUAUUUUUCCACUGACAAAAACAAUAAGCAAUACACGCAAAA